CAACUACUCCCUCUGUCCCAAAUUUCUUGUCUUAGAUUUGUCUAGAUACGGAUGUAUCUAAUACUAAAAUGUGACUUGAUACAUCCGUAUCUAGACAAAUCUAAGACAAGAAUUUUGGGACGGAGAGAGUACUUU
rfam:Triticum aestivum genome assembly, contig: Triticum_aestivum_CS42_TGACv1_scaffold_471057_6AL